rnacentral:rRNA from 1 species
CAAUAGCGUAUAUUAAAGUUGUUGCAGUUAAAAAGCUCGUAGUUGGAUUUCGGGGCAGCCUGGCUGGUCCGCCGCAAAGCGAGUACUGGUCAGCCGCCCUUCCUCUCGAAAGCCCCGACUGCUCUUCGUUGCAGUGGUCGGGUAGUUCGGGACGUUUACUUUGAAAAAAUUAGAGUGUUCAAGGCAGGCCUACGCCUGAAUACAUUAGCAUGGAAUAAUGGAAGAGGACCUCGGUCCUAUUUUGUUGGUUUCCAGGGCCGAAGUAAUGAUUAAGAGGGACAGUUGGGGGCAUUCGUAUUUAAUUGUCAGAGGUGAAAUUCUCGGAUUUAUGAAAGACGAACAACUGCGAAAGCAUUUGCCAAGGAUGUUUUCAUUAA